CAGUGAAUAACAUUUUAAACAGCUGCGGUAUUUUAACUGUACUAAGGUAGCAUAAUAAUUUGCCUUAUAAAUUGAGGCUAGAAUGAAGGGUUUGACGAAGGUUUAACUGUCUCUAUUUUAUUUAUUAGAAUUUAAUUUUUAUAGUGAAAAAGCUUAAAUAUUUUAAAGGGAAGAGAAGACCCUAUUGAGCUUUAAUUUUAUAUAAUUAUAGUAAUAAUACUAUAGUAAGUAGAUAAAUUUUAAUUGGGGUGAUUAAGGAAUAAAGUAUAAUUAAUAAAUAACUUCCUUAAAAAUAAUGACUGUUGGGUUAAGUAACCAAUGAAUAUUGCUUAUAGAAAGUUACCAUAGGGAUAACAGCGUAAUUUAUUUAGAGAGCUCUAAUUGAUAAAUGAGAUUGCGACCUCGAUGUUGGAUUAAAGUAACCUUAAGGUGCAGAAGCUUUAAUUGGUAAAUCUGUUCGAUUUUUAAAACUUUACGUGAUCUGAGUUCAGACCGGA
rnacentral:rRNA from 1 species